rnacentral:rRNA from 1 species
CCUACGGGUGGCAGCAGUGAGGAAUAUUGGUCAAUGGUCGUAAGGCUGAACCAGCCAAGUCGCGUGAAGGAUGAAGGAUCUAUGGUUUGUAAACUUCUUUUAUAGGGGAAUAAAGGUCUCCACGUGUGGUUAUUUGCAUGUACCGUAUGAAUAAGCAUCGGCUAACUCCGUGCCAGCAGCCGCGGUAAUACGGAGGAUGCGAGCGUUAUCCGGAUUUAUUGGGUUUACAGGGUGCGUAGGUUGUUUGUUAAGUCAGCGGUGAAAGGUUGUGGCUCAACCAUAACAUUGCCGUUGAAACUGGAAGACGUGAGUGUGUUGAAGGUAGGCGGAAUGCGUGGUGUAGCGGUGAAAUGCAUAGAUAUCACGCAGAACUCCGAUUGCGAAGGCAGCUUACUAAGCCAUAACUGACACUGAAGCACGAAAGCGUGGGGAUCAAACAGGAUUAGAUACCCCGGUAGUC